GAUGAACGCUGGCGGCGUGCCUAAUACAUGCAAGUCGAGCGAACAGAUAAGGAGCUUGCUCCUUUGACGUUAGCGGCGGACGGGUGAGUAACACGUGGGUAACCUAUCUAUAAGACUGGAAUAACUCCGGGAAACCGGGGCUAAUGCCGGAUAACAUUUAGAACCGCAUGGUUCUAAAGUGAAAGAUGGUUUUGCUAUCACUUAUAGAUGGACCCGCGCCGUAUUAGCUAGUUGGUAAGGUAACGGCUUACCAAGGCAACGAUACGUAGCCGACCUGAGAGGGUGAUCGGCCACACUGGAACUGAGACACGGUCCAGACUCCUACGGGAGGCAGCAGUAGGGAAUCUUCCGCAAUGGGCGAAAGCCUGACGGAGCAACGCCGCGUGAGUGAUGAAGGUCUUCGGAUCGUAAAACUCUGUUAUUAGGGAAGAACAAAUGUGUAAGUAACUGUGCACGUCUUGACGGUACCUAAUCAGAAAGCCACGGCUAACUACGUG
rnacentral:rRNA from 1 species